rnacentral:rRNA from 1 species
ACCAACAGGGAUUGCCCUAGUAACGGCGAGUGAAGCGGCAACAGCUCAAAUUUGAAAUCUGGCCCUCGGGUCCGAGUUGUAAUUUGUAGAGGAUGCUUUUGGUGCAGUGCCUUCCGAGUUCCUUGGAACAGGACGCCUUAGAGGGUGAGAGCCCCGUACGGUUGGACACUAAGCCUCUGUAAAGCUCCUUCGACGAGUCGAGUAGUUUGGGAAUGCUGCUCUAAAUGGGAGGUAAAUUUCUUCUAAAGCUAAAUACCGGCCAGAGACCGAUAGCGCACAAGUAGAGUGAUCGAAAGAUGAAAAGUACUUUGAAAAGAGGGUUAAAUAGCACGUGAAAUUGUUGAAAGGGAAGCGUUUAUGACCAGACCUUUGUCUGGCGGAUCAUCCGGUGUUCUUCACCGGUGCACUUCGCCAGGCUCAGGCCAGCAUCGAUUUCUGUAGGGGGAUAAAAACCAUGGGAACGUAGCUCUCUCCGGGGAGUGUUAUAGCCCUAGGUACAAUACCUUUACGGGGAUCGAGGUUCGCGCUUCUGCAAGGAUGCUGGCGUAAUGGUCAUCAACGACCCGUCUUGAAACACGGACCAAGGAGUCGAACAUUUAUGCGAGUGUUUGGGUGUUAAACCCUCACGCGUAAUGAAAGUGAACGGAGGUGAGAGCCCGUACGGGUGCAUCAUCGACCGAUCCUGAUGUCUUCGGAUGGAUUUGAGUAAGAGCAUAACUGUUCGGACCCGAAAGAUGGUGAACUAUGCGUGGAUAGGGUGAAGCCAGAGGAAACUCUGGUGGAGGCUCGCAGCGGUUCUGACGUGCAAAUCGAUCGUCAAAUCUGCGCAUGGGGGCGAAAGACUUAUCGAACCAUCUAGUAGCUGGUUACCGCCGAAGUUUCCCUCAGGAAAA